AUGACGUCAAGUCCUCAUGGCCCUUAUAGGUGGGGCUACACACGUCAUACAAUGGAUGGUACAAAGGGUCGCCAACCCGCGAGGGGGAGCCAAUCCCAUAAAGCCAUUCGUAGUCCGGAUCGCAGUCUGCAACUCGACUGCGUGAAGUCGGAAUCGCUAGUAAUCGUGGAUCAGAAUGUCACGGUGAAUACGUUCCCGGGUCUU
rnacentral:rRNA from 1 species